AGGAAACUAUAGUGGGAAAAGGGAAUUUCUUGGUAGGAUCACCUGUAUUGGAGAGGGAAAGCUACCUACAGCAGGGAAGCUUAGGUGGUGAUGGGGGAAAUCUGGUGGUCCCUAAUCAGAAGGGAGAGCUGUGAGAGAAGUAAGAAAAGACUGGGUGGACUGCAAAUCACAUGAGUCAUGAUAUGAGGCAGACGUUCCCCAAAGAGUGGACUUAGGAAUUUCCAAUAGUUCCUGGAAACACCACAAGAGGUUCAGAUAAGCCUCUAAACUUAACUCAUUGCUCUUGAAGUCUGAAUAGUUUGGGGUUGACCCAUUUUGUUGUAAUAGUUUAACUGCAAACUUCCACUCGGACAGCAAAAUUGCUCAUGGCGAUCAAAUCCUGAAGAAGGUCUAAGCACUUUCAUGCUUGUAACAGUAUUUCUGGGUGUGGCUUUUUUGCAGAGCAAUUCAUCCCGAGCCUGUAUCCAUAUAUUGACCUGACUGCUAUUUAACUAUGAUCCUUUUAACAUUGUGUGUGAAAUUUUUAAAAUAAGGAUUUAGUGUUCCCUUCUGGGUGAACGGAAAGGGAGGCAAGAGGAAAGGAUUUCCCUAAUGGUUCAACAAAAGUACUUAGUAAGUAAUUUAUCAUCAAGUGCCAGCCUUAUCUGAAACUCGGGCCUGUCUUCCAUGAUUCACCAGUGUUUGUGGUGACCUGUUACUCAUAGAGGAAAGGAGGCAGUGUAGUAAAUCCAAACUGGUAUUCUUCAGCCCCUGUUUCCUUUGUAAAGUACACAUGAAUAAAUGUAUUUCUAUUCCACGCAUUAAAAUAUCAGAAUACUCUUCAUUUCUGAUUUUUGUAUCUCUAUUUGCAUAUGAAUCAAUAGCAUACUUUUUUACAAGUAACUGUAAGAAAGUGAAUUUACUUAUUGACUGACAUUAUCAAGCCAUCAGGCAGACACUACAGCAGAUAGAAUUGCCUUUUGUGUUGAAGUCUGCCAGCCUUUAACAGAAAAAGUGGUGUGCUUUUUGCUAGUGAGAGCUAAUACAUAGGAAGGUAAUGGGUUUUUAAAAAUGUUAUAAACCUUAAUGGUGUUAGAUCAAUAAUAUGAGUACUACAAGUAAAAUGCUCUUGCAUAUAUUAAGACCUUCUUCAAAAUGUAGCUUCUUGAAGGACUUUUUAGAAUGUAAGAGUGAUUGGUAUAUCGUCUCUACAAUAAAAUACUAAUGGAUCCAAGUUUGAAAAAUGUGAAUUGUCUGUCUUCUGUUUCAGAAAUAUGGGAACAUGUUUUAAGAAUACCUGUACAGGAUUUUCCACAGCAGCUCCCAACUAUGGCUCUGUUAAGUCUAGUGUUCCACAUAGAGUAUUAUACCAGUAUCUGAUCUUCAGGGGAAAUUGAAACUCCUUUGUGGUUUAGCUAGUCAAUUCUGCAAGGCUGUACGGUUUGCUUGAGACAGAACUCCUUCCUAUUCCCUGUUGAUUUAUAGCCUGAAGCAGUGUAGCUAAGCCUUACAUGUUAAUGUUUAUUAAACAUGUUCUUUUGGAUCUCACCAGGCCUGUGAUUUUUCUUGUUGUGUAUGUUGUGUUAAGGUCAAGAGAGACCAUUGGACUCUCUUACUGACUUCUAAUGGUCGUUUUUUGUGGGGGUUUUUUUGUUUUUUUUUAAAAACCUCUGCCUCAUGUCUGCAUCCCUUGGGCUUUGCAAUUUAUUAUGCCAAGUUUUAGCCUGAUAUAAAAG